UACGUAGGGGGCAAGCGUUUGUCCGGAAUUAUUGGGCGUAAAGCGCGCGCAGGCGGCUUUGUAAGUCUGUCGUUUAAGUUCGGGGCUCAACCCCGUAUCGCGAUGGAAACUGCAAGGCUUGAGUACAGAAGAGGAAAGUGGAAUUCCACGUGUAGCAGUGAAAUGCGUAGAGAUGCGGAGGAACACCGAUGGCGAAGGCAGCCCCCUGGGCUAGCACUGACGCCUCAGGCACGAAAGCGUGGGGAGCAACAGG
rnacentral:rRNA from 1 species